GAAGCGGGCCAGACCGCCGCUGGUGCGAUCGUGGAAACACGGCACUGGAGGAAGGUCCGGACUGCAUAGAGCGGCGUAGCAGCUAACGGCUGCCCGGCGUAAGCCGAGGAUCAGAGCAACAGAGACGAGUCGAUGCAGGUGCAAGCCCGCAUCGGGUGAAACGGGCAAUCUCUACGCGCAGCAACACCAAGUAGGCCAGCGUUGAUGCGGCUCGCAGAGCUGGCGGGUAGGUGGCACCGAGCCGGGCAGUGAUGUCCGGCCAAGAGGAAUGGCGGUCACAUGGACAGAUUCGCAAGAAUCCGUCCGUGCACAAAAUCCGGCCUAUCGGCCCGCUUCACAC
rnacentral:RNase_P_RNA from 1 species